rnacentral:rRNA from 1 species
GGAUCGCAAGACCUUGCGCUUUUGGAGCGGCCGAUGUCUGAUUAGCUAGUUGGUGAGGUAAAGGCUCACCAAGGCGACGAUCAGUAGCUGGUCUGAGAGGACGACCAGCCACACUGGGACUGAGACACGGCCCAGACUCCUACGGGAGGCAGCAGUGGGGAAUUUUGGACAAUGGGGGCAACCCUGAUCCAGCCAUGCCGCGUGAGUGAAGAAGGCCUUCGGGUUGUAAAGCUCUUUCAGCCGGGAAGAAAUGGUUCUGACUAAUACUCGGUACUCAUGACGGUACCGGCAGAAGAAGCACCGGCUAACUACGUGCCAGCAGCCGCGGUAAUACGUAGGGUGCGAGCGUUAAUCGGAAUUACUGGGCGUAAAGGGUGCGCAGGCGUC